rnacentral:rRNA from 1 species
CAGUAGCCGCGGGAAUACGAGGGGGGCAAGCGUUGUUCGGAAUCAUUGGGCGUAAAGGGUGCGGAGGCGGCUUGACAAGUCUUGUGUGAAAUCUAUGGGCUCAACCCAUAGUCUGCACGGGAAACUGUCGGGCUUGAGAAUGGGAGAGGUGAGUGGAAUUUCCGGUGUAGCGGUGAAAUGCGUAGAUAUCUGGAAGAACACCGACGGCGAAGGCAACCUCCUGGGCCUGUUCUGACGCUGAGGCACGAAAGCGUGGGUAGCAAACAGGAUUAGAUACCCGCGUAGUUCCUGUCUCUUAUAC